UACGUAGGGGGCUAGCGUUGUCCGGAAUCAUUGGGCGUAAAGAGCUCGUAGGCGGUUUGUCGCGUCUGCUGUGAAAUCCUGAGGCUCAACCUCGGGCUUGCAGUGGGUACGGGCAGACUAGAGUGCGGUAGGGGAGAUUGGAAUUCCUGGUGUAGCGGUGGAAUGCGCAGAUAUCAGGAGGAACACCGAUGGCGAAGGCAGAUCUCUGGGCCGUAACUGACGCUGAGGAGCGAAAGCAUGGGGAGCGAACAGG
rnacentral:rRNA from 1 species